UUUUACGAAACUAGGUUUCACCUUCUUUUCAGUCUUGAUAGUGAAGGCACUUGAGGGUUGCAGACUCAUGAUCUUGAUUCUCGACGUACCCAUUUUCAUAGCCUUUCUUCUUAAACAAAUCAAGGGCCAUUUGUGAAGCUCUUGUAAGGUACUUUCUUCCUACUUGAUGAACUUCCUUAGAAGAGGAAAUUCAUCUACUUUUUAUCUUCGUAGAAGCGUAAUCUUUGUUACUGUUUCUGUUAACUUCUGAAAAUUUGAUCUGUUCAGUAGUUUCUUCUCGCAUCUGUUUGUUACUAUGGGUAUAAUUUUCUUGAACGUAGAUACAAUUCUACAAGGAUUUUAGUAGUUUUACCUAUUGGUUGGGAAACUAUUAGAGGGAAAAUACAUUCAGAAUUCUGCAUUUUCUUGUAAUACCUAUCUAACCAAAAAGAAAAUUUAGAAGGUUGCAGUUUGACAUAUUUUCUUUUAAUUAUUUUUCCCUUAAUUGCAUCGGGGUAUAGAUGGCUAUAAAAUUCAAGAGUAAAGUGAGAGUUAAAGAUAGAAUCAGUGACUUACCAGAUGCAAUUCUUUGUCACAUCCUUUCCUUCAUUCCAACAAAAUAUGCUGUGAGGACUGUCACUUUGUCUACAAGAUGGAAGAAAGUGUGGGCGUCUGUUCCCUGCCUAGACUUCUGUCCCAAAGAUUUUGAUUUCUAUGAAAGUUUUCUGAUGUUUGUUAGUCGCUUACUUCUAUAUCGUGGCUCAUCAGACAUUCAAAAGUUCCGACUUCGUUGUCUGAAGAAUGAUAGUCAGUUCCCCCUUAUUGACGGUUGGAUUUGCACCACUAUUAUGAGGCAUGUUGUUGAACUUGAUCUUGAUGUUCCAGGAGGUUCCUGAAUUUUUGAGUUGGCUAGAAGCCUUAUGUCAAGUUUUGCUUUUGAUACCCCAAAGUCAUGGUGUUUGCCUAGUCUCAAGGUGCUUGUUGUUACAGUUGAUCGUCCUGAUAACGAUCCAAUGAGAGCUUCUGCCUUACUGCCUCGCGAUUGAAGAUUUGACUAUAAAGGGUUCUGUUAAACAACAUGUUAUUUCGAAUUUUCACAUCUCUGCGCUUCAACUAAAGACUUAACGAUCAUUUUAGAGACUCGAGAAGAUGAUCAUUUUCCUGUGAAAAAUGGGUGCACUCUUAUUAUUAGAGCCCCGAAACUGGAAAAUUUAGAUAUCGACCAAUGUGUUCUGUCACUUUAUCUUCUGGACACUGCAAAAUCUUUUGCCAAAGCCACUAUUCAUCUUUCUGACGUAAAGCAAAGAGAUAAUCCUGCCUUUGCUAACCGUGCAACAACCCUUCUGGCACAAAUUAGCGAUGUUAAAUAUCUGUCCCUUUCGGCACAUUGUUUGGAGGCUUGUCAUCUGCCUAUUUUUCGUAAUUUGAGGCAACUGGAGCUGGUUCUUCAUUAGCUGUUCUUGGUGGCCAGAGUUGUUGAAGACAUCACCUAAUCUGGAAUCUCUUGUUUUAGAUCAUUCAAGACAUCCCUCUUGGCGCAUGGAUAGUUGUGAAUUCACAUGGCUACAAUGGAAUUCCCCAGAGUCGGUGCCUAGUUGUGUGUUGUCACAACUCAAAACUAUAUGUACAAGGAAUUUUAGAGGAGAGCCGGAAUG